AGAGUUUGAUCCUGGCUCAGGAUGAACGCUAGCGGCAGGCCUAAUACAUGCAAGUCGAGGGGCAGCAGGAGUAGCAAUACUCGCUGGCGACCGGCGCACGGGUGCGUAACACGUAUACAAUCUGCCUUUAACAGGGGGAUAGCCCGGAGAAAUCCGGAUUAAUACCCCAUAACAUAUUGAGUGGCAUCACUUGAUAUUAAAAGCUCCGGCGGUUAAAGAUGAGUAUGCGUCUGAUUAGCUAGUUGGUGAGGUAACGGCUCACCAAGGCGACGAUCAGUAGGGGAUCUGAGAGGACUACCCCCCACACGGAUACUGAGACACGGAUCCGACUCCUACGGGAGGCAGCAGUAAGGAAUAUUGGACAAUGCCCGCAAGGGUGAUCCAGCCAUGCCGCGUGCAGGAAGACGGCCCUAUGGGUCGUAAACUGCUUUUAUACCGGAGAAAACCUCUUCUCGUGAGAAGAGCUGAUAGUAUGGUAAGAAUAAGCAUCGGCUAACUUCGUGCCAGCAGCCGCGGUAAGACGAAGGAUGCAAGCGUUGUCCGGAUUCAUUGGGUUUAAAGGGAGCGUAGGUGGUCUUAUAAGUCAGUGGUGAAAUCUCUGGGCUUAACCCAGAAAUUGCCAUUGAUACUGUAGGACUUGAGUAUAGUUGCCGUUGGCGGAAUAUGACAUGUAGUGGUGAAAUACAUAGAGAUGUCAUAGAACACCGAUUGCGAAGGCAGCUAACGAAACUAUAACUGACACUGAGGCUCGAAAGUGUGGGGAUCAAACAGGAUUAGAUACCC
rnacentral:rRNA from 1 species